UACGUAGGGACCAAGCGUUGUUCGGAUUUACUGGGCGUAAAGGGCGCGUAGGCGGCAAUUCAAGUCAUCUGUGAAAUCUCUGGGCUUAACCCGGAACGGCCAGGUGAUACUGCUUUGCUAGAGUGCGGAAGGGGCAAUCGGAAUUCUUGGUGUAGCGGUGAAAUGCGUAGAUAUCAAGAGGAACACCUGAGGUGAAGACGGGUUGCUGGGCCGACACUGACGCUGACAGCGCGAAAGCCAGGGGAGCAAACGGG
rnacentral:rRNA from 1 species